AGGAUGAACGCUGGCGGCGUGCCUAAUACAUGCAAGUCGAGCGGUAACAGGCUCUCACAGUUCGCUUAAGCUCUGCGGUGCUUCUGUUUACAGAGAUACCAAGGAAGGCAAAAUCACACGGAAGGGCCGGCUAGCCUGAAAGAGUGAUGGAGUUAUUAAGCGCCACUGUGAGAGUGCUGACGAGCGGCGGACGGCUGAGUAACACGUAGGAACGUACCCCAAAGUGAGGGAUAAGCAUUGGAAACAGUGUCUAAUACCGCAUGUGAUCUUCGGAUUAAAGCUUUAUGCGCUUUGGGAACGGCCUGCGUAUGAUUAAUUUGUUGGUGAGGUAAUGGCUCACCAAGACUACGAUCAUUAGCUGGUCUGAGAGGAUGAUCAGCCAGACUGGGACUGAGACACGGCCCAGACUCCUACGGGAGGCGAGCAGUAGGGAAUUUUCCACAAUGGCGAAAGCCUGAUGGAGCAACGCCGCGG
rnacentral:rRNA from 1 species